AGUGAACGCUGGCGGUAGGCCUAACACAUGCAAGUCGAACGGCAGCACAGGAGAGCUUGCUCUCUGGGUGGCGAGUGGCGGACGGGCGAGGAAUACAUCGGAAUCUACUCUGUCGUGGGGGAUAACGUAGGGAAACUUACGCUAAUACCGCAUACGACCUACGGGUGAAAGCAGGGGACCUUCGGGCCUUGCGCGAUUGAAUGAGCCGAUGUCGGAUUAGCUAGUUGGCGGGGUUAAGGCCCACCAAGGCGACGAUCCGUAGCUGGUCUGAGAGGAUGAUCAGCGACACUGGAACUGAGACACGGUCCAGACUCCUACGGGAGGCAGCAGUGGGGAAUAUUGGACAAUGGGCGCAAGCCUGAUCCAGCCAUACCGCGUGGGUGAAGAAGGCCUUCGGGUUGUAAAGCCCUUUUGUUGGGAAAGAAAUCCAGCUGGCUAAUACCCGGUUGGGAUGACGGUACCCAAAGAAUAAGCACCGGCUAACUUCGUGCCAGCAGCCGCCGCCG
rnacentral:rRNA from 1 species